AGGUCAAAGGUGAGAGUGGAAGGUAAGUUGAAUUAUGUAAAAAUGUGCAGCCCGUACUAGAUGGGGCUGGGCUGGCACCACACCUUUCAGGAGAGGGUUGGGCCAAUUUUGGGGGGUAUUAAAACCCAUAGGUAAAGAGGCCUAAUGUGGCCCAGGCUUGGCCUUCUGUUGGGCUAAGCCAAGCCCAUGGCUCAAUUAAUUUUUAAUAUAUAUUUGAAAUAUCUUUAACACAUUUUAAUUAUCUUUGAUAUAUUUUUUAUAUUUUUAAUAAUAUUUAUGGUCAGGCCAAGCCAUGGACCAAACCAUGGCGAAAGCUCAGACUGGGCCUAGGCCUUGAUUGGGUUGAGCCAUUCCAAAUGGAAGCUGGUGGGCAGCUCGGCUUGUCUAGCCUGACUCGUGAAUUUAUUAAUCAAGCGAGCUAGGCUAGGCUCAAACCUUGCUUGGCCAGGCAGGCAAUCAGACUGUAUUUUUCAUCUGGUAUCGGUAGAUAGACACACUUCUACAAUUAGCCAACCAAAAUGAAUAAAGCAACGAAAAGCACUGUUAUAGCAGAGUUUAAGGUAGAAAUAGGGGAGACCAAUAGGAGAAGAGAGAACAGAGAAAGGUGGAGGGAAAAGAAUAAGAAAAGCAGAGAACAGGAGUAGAAAGCAUAAUUUCAAGAGAGAAAAACUUCGAGUUCUAUUUCAAUAACAUUAUCCUCCUCAUUACAUCAAAUAUAUUUAUAAAGAAAAACUAGUCCCAGAAUGAACCAAAAGUAAUUGGUCAAUAUGAAGACACCACCAUUCUUGUAACAAUAAAAAACAAGACUACUUUUGACACUUCAAAUUGCCAUUAUUUUUGUCUAAUGAGAGGUGACACAGUGUGUCCACCUACAGUUACCAAUACAGCCUUUGGCCACCAUCUUUCAACUGAUGAGAUCUAGGAAGUUGCCACAACCGUUGAUCCAAUGAUAAGUGCAGCAAGUUAACACCUUACCACCAUCUUUGGAGCAA
rnacentral:lncRNA from 1 species